GACGAGGCGGACGGGGCGAGAGAGCGAGAGGGAAAGAGAAGAGGCAGGCCCGGGACCGAUAGGAGGGAGGUCUCCCUAAGAGCUAUUUGUACGUGUGUUUUAUCUCCAUUAUGCAUUGAAGUUCUACAUCAUUGCCUGAUUGUGGUAAUGAGGUGACCCAGAGUUCUUCACACUAAGCCAGCAGAGAAUAAGUUCUGGUGGACAAUUUGAAAAUAAGGACGUUCUAUAUUAAAGACAGUGUCACAUAGUGGAUCAACAGCUGACAUUGCAGUCAGGAAGACCUGGAUUCAGAUCAUGCCUCUGACUCAAAGUUGCUAUGUGACCCUGGGUAUACCUAGGAAGAGUUUAGCAGCCAAACCACAAGCCCAAACUGAGACAAACACCUGUGAACACUGGAACAUACUCUGAUCAGAUUUCAGAAGGAGACGCAAUACAAAGAGGGCAGAAGCAGCACUGCUAGGCUGCUCAGUCUUUCCUGCUCUUUUCCCACUCUGAAGAUCUAUUCCCACGUUCUUCCUCCUGCCACUGGUCUUUUGACUCACGUUUCAACAUUCUACUCUUUUCACUGAUGUCAAGACUCCUCUUGCUUCUCACCAAGAUAAGUCUCAAGCAUAUACCUCAGUGUACACCAGUAAUUUGCCCCAAAUGCCCUUUAAAUUACAAGCAAUGGCACACCUUCCUCAGUGCUGUUCUAAAGGGUAGAACUGUGGUAAUGUAUUCAUGUUACCCAAAUGAUCCAAACCUCAGCACCUGGGUUUCUUCUCUUCCCAGGCCUGCAGCAUGCUAGUUUUCUGACAGCAGAGUGAUGAGAUUAUAGAAAGCUUUGAAAACCAGACAGGAAUUUGGACUCACCAUGGAUAAGAAAGAGCCUUAAUGGAUUAUUAAGCAAGAAAAUGACAGAUUGAUCUCCUUGGUAUUUCCAGUAUCUAAAUAGGAUGUGAUCUCCCAGCUGGAGCAAGGGGAUGAACCAAGGGUCCUGGAUACACAAGCAGCAGAGGGGAAAGACAUCCUAAGCCAUGACUAUUCAGAUAUGUUGAGCAAGCAGACUUCAGAAAAACCUGGAAAGACUUGUAU